rnacentral:rRNA from 1 species
ACUCUCGUUAGAUUGAAGAAGCUUGCUUCUGAUUGAUAACAUUUGAGUGAGUGGCGGACGGGUGAGUAACACGUGGGUAACCUGCCCUAAAGUGGGGGAUAACAUUUGGAAACAGAUGCUAAUACCGCAUAAAACCUAGCACCGCAUGGUGCAAGGUUGAAAGAUGGUUUCGGCUAUCACUUUAGGAUGGACCCGCGGUGCAUUAGUUAGUUGGUGAGGUAAAGGCUCACCAAGACCGUGAUGCAUAGCCGACCUGAGAGGGUAAUCGGCCACACUGGGACUGAGACACGGCCCAGACUCCUACGGGAGGCAGCAGUAGGGAAUCUUCCACAAUGGACGAAAGUCUGAUGGAGCAACGCCGCGUGAGUGAAGAAGGUUUUCGGAUCGUAAAACUCUGUUGUUGGAGAAGAACGUAUUUGAUAGUAACUGAUCAGGUAGUGACGGUAUCCAACCAGAAAGCCACGGCUAACUACGUGCCAGCAGCCGCGGUAAUACGUAGGUGGCAAGCGUUGUCCGGAUUUAUUGGGCGUAAAGCGAGCGCAGGCGGUUUCUUAAGUCUGAUGUGAAAGCCUUCGGCUCAACCGAAGAAGUGCAUCGGAAACUGGGAAACUUGAGUGCAGAAGAGGACAGUGGAACUCCAUGUGUA